rnacentral:rRNA from 1 species
GAUGAACGCUGGCGGCGUGCCUAAUACAUGCAAGUCGAGCGAACAGACGAGGAGCUUGCUCCUCUGACGUUAGCGGCGGACGGGUGAGUAACACGUGGAUAACCUACCUAUAAGACUGGGAUAACUUCGGGAAACCGGAGCUAAUACCGGAUAACAUGUUGAACCGCAUGGUUCAACAGUGAAAGACGGUCUUGCUGUCACUUAUAGAUGGAUCCGCGCCGCAUUAGCUAGUUGGUAAGGUAACGGCUUACCAAGGCAACGAUGCGUAGCCGACCUGAGAGGGUGAUCGGCCACACUGGAACUGAGACACGGUCCAGACUCCUACGGGAGGCAGCAGUAGGGAAUCUUCCGCAAUGGGCGAAAGCCUGACGGAGCAACGCCGCGUGAGUGAAGAAGGUCUUCGGAUCGUAAAACUCUGUUAUUAGGGAAGAACAAAUGUGUAAGUAACUAUGUACGUCUUGACGGUACCUAAUCAGAAAGCCACGGCUAACUACGU